rnacentral:misc_RNA from 1 species
GAUGAAGAACGUAGCGAAAUGCGAUACUUGGUGUGAAUUGCAGAAUCCCGUGAACCAUCGAGUCUUUGAACGCAAGUUGAGCCCGAAGCCGUUAGGCCGAGGGCACGCCUGCCUGGGCGUCACACGUCGUUGCCCCCCCAUCUACUCCUUCGGGAUUGCGGGGGGCGGAUGAUGGCCUCCCGUGCGCCUCGCCGCGCGGUUGGCGUAAAUGCCAAGUCCUCGGCGACGCACGCCACGACAAUCGGUGGUUGCGAAACCUCGGUUGCCCGUCGUGUGCGGUCGUCGCGCAUCGAGGGCUCGAAAAAAUUGCCGGGUUCCGGCUCGGCUUUCAACGCGACCCCAGGUCAGGCGGGGUUACCCGCUGAAUUUAAGCAUAUCAAUAAGCGGAGGA